UUAAGCGACUAAGCGUACACGGUGGAUGCCCUGGCAGUCAGAGGCGAUGAAGGACGUGCUAAUCUGCGAAAAGCGUCGGUAAGGUGAUAUGAACCGUUACAGCCGGCGAUGUCCGAAUGGGGAAACCCAGUGCAAUUCGUUGCACUAUCGUUAACUGAAUACAUAGGUUAACGAGGCGAACCGGGGGAACUGAAACAUCUAAGUACCCCGAGGAAAAGAAAUCAACCGAGAUUCCCCAGUAGCGGCGAGCGAACGGGAGCAGCCCAGAGUCUGAAUCAGCUUGUGUUAGUGGAACGGUCUGGAAAGUCCGACGGUACAGGGUGAUAGUCCCGUACACCAAAAUGCACAGGUUGUGAACUCGAAGAGUAGGGCGGGACACGUGGUAUCCUGUCUGAAUAUGGGGACCAUCCUCCAAGGCUAAAUACUCUGACUGACCGAUAGUGAACCAGUACCGUGAGGAAAGGCGAAAAGAACCCCGGCGAGGGAGUGAAAAGAACCUGAAACCGUGUACGUACAAGCAGUGGGAGCACCUUCGGGUGUGACUGCGUACCUUUGUAUAAUGGGUCAGCGACUUAUAUUCUGUAGCAAGGUUAACCGUAUAGGGAGCCGCAGGAAACCGAGUCUUAACUGGGCGUUAAGUUGCAGGGUAUAGACCCGAAACCCGGUGAUCUAGCCAUGGGCAGGUUGAAGGUUGGGUAACACUAACUGGAGGACCGAACCGACUAAUGUUGAAAAAUUAGCGGAUGACUUGUGGCUGGGGUGAAAGGCCAAUCAAACCGGGAGAUAGCUGGUUCUCCCGAAAGCUAUUUAGGUAGCGCCUCGUGAACUCAUCUUCGGGGGUAGAGCACUGUUUCGGCUAGGGGGUCAUCCCGACUUACCAACCCGAUGCAAACUACGAAUACCGAAGAAUGUUAUCACGGGAGACACACGGCGGGUGCUAACGUCCGUCGUGAAGAGGGAAACAACCCAGACCGCCAGCUAAGGUCCCAAAGUCAUGGUUAAGUGGGAAACGAUGUGGGAAGGCACAGACAGCCAGGAUGUUGGCUUAGAAGCAGCCAUCAUUUAAAGAAAGCGUAAUAGCUCACUGGUCGAGUCGGCCUGCGCGGAAGAUGUAACGGGGCUAAACCAUGCACCGAAGCUGCGGCAGCGACACUAUGUGUUGUUGGGUAGGGGAGCGUUCUGUAAGCCUGCGAAGGUGUGCUGUGAGGCAUGCUGGAGGUAUCAGAAGUGCGAAUGCUGACAUAAGUAACGAUAAAGCGGGUGAAAAGCCCGCUCGCCGGAAGACCAAGGGUUCCUGUCCAACGUUAAUCGGGGCAGGGUGAGUCGACCCCUAAGGCGAGGCCGAAAGGCGUAGUCGAUGGGAAACAGGUUAAUAUUCCUGUACUUGGUGUUACUGCGAAGGGGGGACGGAGAAGGCUAUGUUAGCCGGGCGACGGUUGUCCCGGUUUAAGCAUGUAGGCUGGUUAUCCAGGCAAAUCCGGAUAAUCAAGGCUGAGGUGUGAUGACGAGGCACUACGGUGCUGAAGUAACAAAUGCCCUGCUUCCAGGAAAAGCCUCUAAGCAUCAGGUAACAUCAAAUCGUACCCCAAACCGACACAGGUGGUCAGGUAGAGAAUACCAAGGCGCUUGAGAGAACUCGGGUGAAGGAACUAGGCAAAAUGGUGCCGUAACUUCGGGAGAAGGCACGCUGGUGUGUAGGUGAAGUCCCUGCGGAUGGAGCUGAGACCAGUCGAAGAUACCAGCUGGCUGCAACUGUUUAUUAAAAACACAGCACUGUGCAAACACGAAAGUGGACGUAUACGGUGUGACGCCUGCCCGGUGCCGGAAGGUUAAUUGAUGGGGUUAUCCGUAAGGAGAAGCUCUUGAUCGAAGCCCCGGUAAACGGCGGCCGUAACUAUAACGGUCCUAAGGUAGCGAAAUUCCUUGUCGGGUAAGUUCCGACCUGCACGAAUGGCGUAAUGAUGGCCAGGCUGUCUCCACCCGAGACUCAGUGAAAUUGAACUCGCUGUGAAGAUGCAGUGUACCCGCGGCAAGACGGAAAGACCCCGUGAACCUUUACUAUAGCUUGACACUGAACAUUGAGCCUUGAUGUGUAGGAUAGGUGGGAGGCUUUGAAGCGUGGACGCCAGUCUGCGUGGAGCCAACCUUGAAAUACCACCCUUUAAUGUUUGAUGUUCUAACGUUGGCCCCUGACCGGGGUUGCGGACAGUGUCUGGUGGGUAGUUUGACUGGGGCGGUCUCCUCCCAAAGCGUAACGGAGGAGCACGAAGGUUAGCUAAUCCUGGUCGGACAUCAGGAGGUUAGUGCAAUGGCAUAAGCUAGCUUGACUGCGAGCGUGACGGCGCGAGCAGGUGCGAAAGCAGGUCAUAGUGAUCCGGUGGUUCUGAAUGGAAGGGCCAUCGCUCAACGGAUAAAAGGUACUCCGGGGAUAACAGGCUGAUACCGCCCAAGAGUUCAUAUCGACGGCGGUGUUUGGCACCUCGAUGUCGGCUCAUCACAUCCUGGGGCUGAAGUAGGUCCCAAGGGUAUGGCUGUUCGCCAUUUAAAGUGGUACGCGAGCUGGGUUUAGAACGUCGUGAGACAGUUCGGUCCCUAUCUGCCGUGGGCGCUGGAGAAUUGAGGGGGGCUGCUCCUAGUACGAGAGGACCGGAGUGGACGCAUCACUGGUGUUCGGGUUGUCAUGCCAAUGGCACUGCCCGGUAGCUAAAUGCGGAAGAGAUAAGUGCUGAAAGCAUCUAAGCACGAAACUUGCCCCGAGAUGAGUUCUCCCUGAGACUAUAAGUCUCCUGAAGGAACGUUAAAGACGAUGACGUUGAUAGGCCGGGUGUGUAAGCGCAGCGAUGCGUUGAGCUAACCGGUACUAAUGAACCGUGAGGCUUAACCU
rnacentral:rRNA from 1 species